AAACUAACAAGGAUUCCCCUAGUAACGGCGAGUGAAGCGGGAAGAGCUCAAAUUUGAAAUCUGGCAGUCUUCGAUUGUCCGAGUUGUAAUCUAUAGAGGCGUUUUCCGUGCCGGACCGUGUCCAAGUCUCCUGGAAAGGAGUAUCAAAGAGGGUGAUAAUCCCGUACUUAACACGACCACCGGUGCUCUGUGAUACGUCUUCUACGAGUCGAGUUGUUUGGGAAUGCAGCUCAAAAUGGGUGGUGAAUUCCAUCUAAAGCUAAAUAUUGGCGAGAGACCGAUAGCGAACAAGUACCGUGAGGGAAAGAUGAAAAGCACUUUGGAAAGAGAGUUAAACAGUACGUGAAAUUGUUGAAAGGGAAACGAUUGAAGUCAGUCGUGUUCUUUGGAUUCAGCCAGUUCUGCUGGUCUACUUCCUUGGAACGGGUCAACAUCAGUUUUGUCCGGUGGAUAAAGGUAGUAGGAAUGUGACUUCUCCGGAAGUGUUAUAGCCUAUUAUCACAUACACUGGGUGAGACUGAGGACUGCAGCUCGCCUUUAUGGCCGGUCUUCGGACACGUUCGAGCUUAGGAUGUUGACAUAAUGGCUUUAAACGACCC
rnacentral:rRNA from 1 species